AACUCAGAUUGGACAGAUAGUCUAGCUAGCGGUCUGGAUUUACCCUGCAGAGAUCUGAGGACCAGGUAACCAUAGUCCGGAGGUUAGAACCCCAACACAGAGGAUGAGGAAGGGGACGACAUCUGGUGGAAA